CGGGGCGUAGCGCAGUCCGGUUCAGCGCGCAGCGUUUGGGACGCUGAGGUCCCCGGUUCGAAUCCGGGCGCCCCGA
rnacentral:tRNA from 1 species